rnacentral:tRNA from 1 species
GCCUGGGUGGCUCAGUCAGUUAAGUGUCUGACUUCAGCUCAGGUCACGAUCUCACAGUUGGUGGGUUUGAGUCCCACGUCGGGCU